ACUCCUACGGGAGGCAGCAGUGGGGAAUCUUCCACAAUGGGCGCAAGCCUGAUGGAGCAACACCGCGUGAGUGAAGAAGGGUUUCGGCUCGUAAAGCUCUGUUGUUAAAGAAGAACACGUAUGAGAGUAACUGUUCAUACGUUGACGGUAUUUAACCAGAAAGUCACGGCUAACUACGUGCCAGCAGCCGCGGUAAUACGUAGGUGGCAAGCGUUAUCCGGAUUUAUUGGGGCGUAAAGAGAGUGCAGGCGGUUUUCUAAGUCUGAUGUGAAAGCCUUCGGCUUAACCGGAGAAGUGCAUCGGAAACUGGAUAACUUGAGUGCAGAAGAGGGUAGUGGAACUCCAUGUGUAGCGGUGGAAUGCGUAGAUAUAUGGAAGAACACCAGUGGCGAAGGCGGCUACCUGGUCUGCAACUGACGCUGAGACUCGAAAGCAUGGGUAGCGAACAGGAUUAGAUACCCUGGUAGGAUAGCG
rnacentral:rRNA from 1 species